AUACCUACCUGGCGUCGGGAUACCGUGAUCAUGCAGGCGGUUCCCCCGGGGUGCGGCUGCUCCAUUGCACUGCGGAGUGGUUGACCUUGCGAUUAUUUUAUAUUUUAUAAGUUUCACUUCUACCAUGUGUGACUUGCACACACACACACACACA
rnacentral:snRNA from 9 species